AAAAAUGAAGUUUAAAGCAUGCUGUUUUCAAAUACCGUAUAUGAAAUGGGUGUUCUACAGUCAUCAAUUGUUUCCUGCAUCCACAGAAGACAGAGAAAAAAGACUUAAAGAUAACUCACCAGGCCUGUGCCAAAGAAAUCAAUCAGAUAACCUCUGGAGAUCCCUUUUAGCAAUCUGUAAGCCUCAACACAGUGUUUCUUACACAAAGAGUUAUUGCCAUUUCAAUUUAGAAACUUGGCAAAAAGAAAAUGCUCAGCAUUUCAUUUUAUUGAACAUGAACACAAUUGCUAUAAUUCACAUUCCUUCUCAAAAACCUUAAAUGGUUCCAGUGUUACAAGAAAAUACCUGAAAGCCUGUGAUCUAGCCGUAAUGUUCAGUUUUAGUUUCACUUUUUGCUCUACUCAGACUUUUUUAUUCAUCUUUCCCCAAAUUCAUCAUUAUGAAUGACUACUCACCUUCACAUCUCUUAUCUGGUAUACCAAGGUGGCUUUUGAAAUGCCUUUCCUACUCUUCUCCAUUUAAAAUUUGCUUUUCCGGGCCGGGCGCAGUGGCUCACACCUGUAAUCCCAGCACUUUGGGAGGCUGAGGUGGGCAGAUCACCUGAGGUCUGGAGUUCGAGACCAGCCUGGCCAACAUGGCAAAACCCCAUCUUUACUAAAAAUGCAAAAAAAUUAGCUGGGUGUGGUGGCAGGUGCCUGUAAUCCCAGCUCCUAGGGAGGCUGAGGCAGGAGAAUCGCUUGAACCCGGGAGACGGAGGUUGCAGUGAGCCAAGAUAGCGCCAUCCCACUCCGGCCUGGGGGAUAAGAGCAAAACUACAUCUCAAAAAAAAAGAAAAACUUGGCAAGACUCCA
rnacentral:lncRNA from 1 species